GUUAUAUGGUCAAGCGAAGUAAGCGCACACGGUGGAUGCCUAGGCGGUUGGAGGCGAUGAAGGACGUGGCAGCCUGCGCAAAGCCUCGGGGAGCUGGCAAGCGAGCAAUGAUCCGGGGAUUUCCGAAUGGGGCAACCCGCCUGGUGAAAGCCAGGCAUCUUGAUCUGAAUCCAUAGGGUCGAGAGGCGAACCUGGGGAACUGAAACAUCUCAGUACCUAGAGGAACAGACAUCAACCGAGAUUCCCUGAGUAGUGGCGAGCGAAAGGGGACGAGCCCAAGAAGCGACGGUAGGGUUAGGGGAAGCGUCUGGAAAGGCGCGCCAGAGAUGGUGACAGCCCAGUACCUGAAAACGCUGCUGUUGUGAACACGAGUAAGGCGGGACACGUGUAAUCCUGUCUGAAAACGGGGGGACCAUCCUCCAAGGCUCAAUACUCCCAACCGACCGAUAGUGGACCAGUACCGUGAGGGAAAGGCGAAAAGAACCCCGGUGAGGGGAGUGAAAUAGAACCUGAAACCGUGUGCGUACAAGCAGUCGGAGCCCCUGCGGGGGUGACGGCGUACCUUUUGUAUAAUGGGUCAGCGAGUUACUGCUCAGUGGCAAGCUUAACCGAGUAGGGGAGGCGUAGCGAAAGCGAGUCUGAAGAGGGCGUUGAGUCGCUGGGCGUAGACCCGAAACCGGGCGAUCUACCCAUGGCCAGGGUGAAAGUCGGGUAACGCCGACUGGAGGCCCGAACCGGGAGCUGUUGAAAAAGCUUCGGAUGAGCUGUGGGUUGGAGUGAAAGGCUAAGCAAGCUCGGAGAUAGCUGGUUCUCCCCGAAAGCUAUUGAGGUAGCGCCUCGUGUGAUCACUCUGUGGGGUAGAGCACUGUUUCGGCUCGGGGGCCAUCCCGGCUUACCAACCCGAGGCAAACUCCGAAUACGCAGAAGUGCAACACGGGAGACAGACGGCGGGUGCUAACAUCCGUCGUCGAGAGGGCAACAACCCAGACCGCCAGCUAAGGUCCCCAAAUGAGGUCUCAGUGGGAAACGAUGUCGGAAGGCCCAGACAGCCAGGAGGUUGGCUUAGAAGCAGCCACCCUUUAAAGAAAGCGUAAUAGCUCACUGGUCGAGUCGGUCGGCGCGGAAGAUGUAACGGGGCUAUGAAGAUCUCUACCGAAGCUGCGGCUGCUGUAGAGCAGGGUAGGGGAGCGUUCCGUAAGCCGGUGAAGGUGGAUCGUAAGGUCUGCUGGAGGUAUCGGAAGUGCGAAUGCUGACAUGAGUAACGACUAUCGGGGUGAAAGACCCCGACGCCGCAAACCCAAGGGUUCCUGCGCAACGGUCAUCGGCGCAGGGUGAGUCGGACCCUAAGGCGAGGCCGAGAGGCGUAGUCGAUGGGAAGCCGGUUAAGAUUCCGGCACCGCUGUUCACUGCGAUGGGGGGACGAAGACGGCUAACGCAGCCAGGUGUUGGUUGUCCUGGUUUAAGCGCUUAGGUAGAUCCCUUAGGCAAAUCCGGGGGAUUAAUACUGAGACGUGAUGCCGAGCCAAAUGGCGAAGUGCGUGAUGCCCUGCUUCCGAGAAAAGCCUCUAAGCUUCAGGUGGGCAGUGCCCGUACCCGAAACCGACACAGGUGGGUGGGGAGAGUAUCCCAAGGCGCAUGAGAGAACUCGGGUGAAGGAACUAGGCAAAAUGGCACCGUAACUUCGGGAGAAGGUGCGCCCCUAGUAGGUAAAGCCCCCUGCGGGUGGAGCUGAGGGGGGCCGCAGUGACCAGGCCGCUGCGACUGUUUAUUAAAAACACAGCACUCUGCCAACGCGUAAGCGGACGUAUAGGGUGUGACGCCUGCCCGGUGCCGGAAGGUUAAGUGAUGGGGUCAGCCGCAAGGCGAAGCUCUUGAGCGAAGCCCCGGUAAACGGCGGCCGUAACUAUAACGGUCCUAAGGUAGCGAAAUUCCUUGUCGGGUAAGUUCCGACCUGCACGAAUGGCGUAACGAUGGCGGCACUGUCUCCACCCGAGACUCAGUGAAAUUGAACUCGCUGUGAAGAUGCAGUGUACCCGCGGCUAGACGGAAAGACCCCGUGAACCUUGACUAUAGCUUUGCACUGAACGUUGAAGCAGCUUGUGUAGGAUAGGUGGGAGGCGAUGAAGCGGCGACGCCAGUUGCCGUGGAGCCGACCUUGAAAUACCACCCUGGCUGGUUCGCCGUUCUAACCUCGCCCCGUGAUCCGGGGCAGGGACCGUGCAUGGUGGGUAGUUUGACUGGGGCGGUCUCCUCCCAAAAGGUAACGGAGGAGCACGAAGGUACCCUCAGGUGGGUCGGACAUCCACCGUUAGAGUGCAAAGGCACAAGGGUGCUUAACUGCGAGACAGACAAGUCGAGCAGGUGCGAAAGCAGGUCUUAGUGAUCCGGUGGUUCCUAAUGGACGGGCCAUCGCGCAACGGAUAAAAGGUACUCCGGGGAUAACAGGCUGAUACCGCCCAAGAGUUCAUAUCGACGGCGGUGUUUGGCACCUCGAUGUCGGCUCAUCACAUCCUGGGGCUGUAGUCGGUCCCAAGGGUAUGGCUGUUCGCCAUUUAAAGUGGUACGCGAGCUGGGUUUAGAACGUCGUGAGACAGUUCGGUCCCUAUCUGCCGUGGGCGUUGGAGACUUGCGGGACGCUGCGCCUAGUACGAGAGGACCGGCGUGGACGCACCCCUGGUGUUCCGGUUGUCACGCCAGUGGCAUCGCCGGGUAGCUAUGUGCGGACGGGAUAACCGCUGACAGCAUCUAAGCGGGAAGCCCCCCCCAAGAUUAGGUCUCCCGGGCUCAUUAAGCCCCUCAAGGUCCGUCGUAGACCACGACGUCAAUAGGCGGGAUGUAGAAGUGCGGCAACGCAUGCAGCUAACCCGUCCUAAUCAACCGUGCGGCUUGACCAUAUAACACCCAAGCA
rnacentral:rRNA from 1 species